GGCCCUUAGCUCAGUGGUAAAGCAUCUGCUUUGCAUGCAGAAAGUCCUAAAUUCAAUUCCUGGAAUCUCCAGGAAGGGCUG